rnacentral:rRNA from 1 species
UACGGAAGGUCCGGGCGUUAUCCGGAUUUACUGGGUGUAAAGGGAGCGCAGGCGGCGUGGCAAGUCAGAUGUGAAAACCCGGGGCCCAACCCCGGGAGUGCAUUUGAAACUGCCAUGCUGGAGUGCCGGAGAGGUAAGCGGAAUUCCUAGUGUAGCGGUGAAAUGCGUAGAUAUUAGGAGGAACACCAGUGGCGGAGGCGGCUUACUGGACGGUAACUGACGCUGAGGCUCGAAAGCGUGGGGAGCAAACAGG